GGGGGCGACCAGGUUUCGACGUGUAGGUUUGAAGCUUUGGUGGCGCGCCGGGGACCCCGCUUGGCCUCGUUAAAAAUGCGGGAAAACACACAAGCCAACGAAGAGCUGGCUCUCGCGGCCUAAAGUUGCCGCGACGUUUCACCCCUCACUCCUGCUCGGGGGCUGAAACGCCGACAGCAGGGCGUCCGAAGAACCGAGUACCCGGGGACUGAGGAUGUAUCCAUCGUGGGUGCUGGCGCGGUGAAUGGCCUGUCCGUAGGCAGUUCACCGGGCGAGACUUAAUUACGGAACACGCGCGUAGAUGCCAUCGCAACGCUUAUGCGGACGGGGGUUCGAUUCCCCCCGCCUCCACCA
rnacentral:tmRNA from 2 species